rnacentral:rRNA from 1 species
GACGAACGCUGGCGGCGUGGAUUAGGCAUGCAAGUCGGACGGUAGGGCUUUAUCGUAAGAUAGAGUUUGAGAGUGGCGAACGGGUGAGUAACACGUAGGAAUCUACCCUUAAGACGGGGACAACCCAGGGAAACUUGGGCUAAUACCGGAUGAGAGUGCGAGAGAUUGCAUUUAAAAGGAUGGCGAAAGUUGUCGCUUAGGGAUGAGCCUGCGGUCUAUUAGUUAGUUGGUGAGGUAAGAGCUCACCAAGGCGAUGAUAGAUAGGCGGCCUUAACGGGUGGUCGCCCACACUGGGAUUGAGAUACGGCCCAGACUCCUACGGGAGGCAGCAGUCGAGAAUAGUCUACAAAUGGCCGGAAGGCUGAUAGUGCGACGCCGCGUGAACGAGGGAGCCCUUCGGGGUGUAAAGUUCUUUUCUAUUACGAGCAGUGCUAUAUAUAUGGAUAGUAUAUAUAGAGGGAUAGUAGUAUAGGAAUAAGAACGGCUAACUCCGUGCCAGC